AAAUGGAUGGGAUGCAGCAGCGAGGAGAAUACUUGGGAAAGAGAAAAAGAUCUCGGGGCCUUCAAAUCAUUAAUUGAAGAGUAUCAUGCAUUGAUGGCACCGAGGACGUCGCCAAAACAAAUGGGGGAGAAUGUCAAGGACCGCAGCUUUACUUAGCCCCUUGACACUAUCGCAGCCGCAGUUUGCCCAACUUCGGCCGCACAUUGU
rnacentral:lncRNA from 1 species